rnacentral:rRNA from 1 species
GGAAACCUUACUAGGGUAAGACAUUGGUAUGAUUGACAGAUUACUUGAUCUUUCUUGAUUUGGUGGGUGGUGGUGCAUGGUCGUUCUUAGUUGGUGGAGUGAUUUGUCUGGUUAAUUCCGUUAACGAACGAGACGACCGCCUGCUAAAUAGUUACGUUAACGCUUGCGUUGGCGGGCAACUUCUUAGAGGGACUUUUGGUGACUAACCAAAGGAAGCUGGUCGCAAUAA